rnacentral:rRNA from 1 species
UACGAAGGGGGCUAGCGUUGCUCGGAUUGACUGGGCGUAAAGGGCGCGUAGGCGGUUCGUACAGUCAGACGUGAAAUUCCUGGGCUCAACCUGGGGGCUGCGUUUGAUACGUGCGGACUUGAGUGCGGAAGAGGGUGUGGAAUUCCCAGUGUAGAGGUGAAAUUCGUAGAUAUUGGGAAGAACACCGGUGGCGAAGGCGGCGACCUGGUCCGAUACUGACGCUGAGGCGCGAAAGCGUGGGGAGCAAACAGG